CUAUGUACCAACCCGGCCAAAUCCACGGUCUCGUUGAUCCGUUGCAAGAACAUCAAUGUCGAGGAGGUGCUCGGUUUUGCAGGCCCCAUCGCCCCCUUCCCCAUCAAAUACCUUGGGUUGCCGGUCUCUACGGGACGCCUUCGCUUGGUCCACCUCCAGUUCAUCAUCGACAGAAUCAAGGCAAGGCUUGCAGGCUGGAAGGGCAAGCUGCUACCGAUGGCCGGCCGCCGCGUCCUCGUCCGAUGA
rnacentral:rRNA from 1 species